rnacentral:rRNA from 1 species
UACAGAGGGUGCAAGCGUUGCUCGGAUUUACUGGGCGUAAAGCGUACGCAGACGGUUCGGUAGGUCGGAUGUGAAAGCCCUGGGCUCAACCCAGGAACUGCAUCCGAAACCCCCGAGCUCGAGUAUGAGAGAGGGAAGCGGAAUUCCUGGUGUAGAGGUGAAAUUCGUAGAUAUCAGGAGGAACAUCAGCGGCGAAGGCGGCUUCCUGGCUCAUUACUGACGUUCAGGUACGAAAGCGUGGGUAGCAAACAGGAUUAGAUACCCUGGUAGUCCACGCUGUAAACGAUGUGUGCUGGAUGUCGGGGGUAUACACUCCUUCGGUAUCGAAGUUAACGCGAUAAGCACACCGCCUGGGGAGUACGGCCGCAAGGUUGAA